rnacentral:lncRNA from 1 species
GGGAGGCCGGGCCGUGAGGGAGGCCGAGCCGUGAGGGAGGCGCUGCCCCGGCCCGGCCCGACCCGGGUGAGCCGCCCCAGCCGGCUCCGGCCCUCGCCUUUUUCUUUCGCCAGAGCAUUACGUCAUGCUUUUUCCUCCACGUGGAGAAAUAACAUUGUUAAGAGUUCUGAAGGACUACUGCCAGUUCUACACAUAGGGAUAAGAGAAUCAGCCCAUGUUCACAAAGACUAUUGCUCACACAAGCAAGAGUUACAAUAUUUUUCUGAGCACACUGGUCAUUCAUGGUUAUGGAUUCUCUGUAAGGCAAACAAGGUCUACUACACUAAAAAAAAUAGACCACUGAAAAACUAACAGCAUUCUGAUGUCUACUCUUUGUAUGUGUGACACCUGAUCAUCUGUUCUCGUAAAAAGGCUGGGUAGCUAAUGGAGAGGAAAUCCCAGAACAUAACACAUGAGGAAGAAAGCUCUUUAAAAAGUUAUGCUCUGGGUAUAACUUUAUUUCUCACCUCCAGAGAAAAUUUGUACCAGAAUGUAGAAGCAGGAUUACGACAACAAAGAGCCUUUCUCAGGAGAAUAGUUUGUAUUCAAUAAAGAACACAAUUUUUUUAAAGACA